rnacentral:lncRNA from 1 species
GAUAAGCCAAAAGGCAUUAAAUAGAGUGCACAUGGUAUGUAUAAGUAUGACAAUGCAAUUUGUUGUAAUUGGAAUAUUGGAUCCCACAAGCACAGGGACAGGCGAGGCCAUCUCCUUAAAGUAGUAGAACACUUGAAUCUUCCAAGCUUCCAAAAGUGCAUGCAGAAAGUGAUCCAAAACUAAGACCAUUUACAAUGGUUUGUUUAGUUUACUUACUCUCAACACCACUUUUUCUCUUCUCAACACUCCACAUCAUUUUCUCUUUUCAAUUCAACACUCAUUCAACUUUUACUCACUCCAAUGAUUUUUCAUUCAACACCAACACCCUACCCCACCACUUUUUUAUUUCGUAUUUUUAUUUAAUUUUAUAUUUUUGUUUUUAUGAUUU